CAGUCGCCGCGGGAAUACGUAGGUGGCAAGCGUUGUCCGGAAUUAUUGGGCGUAAAGGGCUCGCAGGCGGUUUCUUAAGUCUGAUGUGAAAGCCCCCGGCUCAACCGGGGAGGGUCAUUGGAAACUGGGAAGCUUGAGUGCAGAAGAGGAGAGUGGAAUUCCACGUGUAGCGGUGAAAUGCGUAGAGAUGUGGAGGAACACCAGUGGCGAAGGCGACUCUCUGGUCUGUAACUGACGCUGAGGAGCGAAAGCGUGGGGAGCGAACAGGAUUAGAUACCCCAGUAGUCCCUGUCUCUUAUAC
rnacentral:rRNA from 1 species